CAAUAAAGACAGGAGCUCUUGCCUUUUCAGACUUAUCCUUACAAAAGAGGACAAUUACCUCAAUCGACUGGCCAGUUUCGAUUGGCCGAUUGGGCUCAGAUCUCCUGCUUUGAAACGUGAUCCGUGGGAGGAAUGCGCAUGCAAGCAGCCACUAAUUUGGCAGCGGAUUGUGAACAUGGCAGGGAUACGGCUGACCGAUGCUGGGCCCCGUGCCAGAACACUCACCUUACUGGAAGCUGCAGCCGGGGCCUCACAGGGGGCGGGGCUUACGCGCAGGGUGUGAUUGGCAGAAAGAGGCAGGCGCGCAAUACCUAUCAAGUGAAGCACGCCGUCCUUUAUUUCAGUGCCAGCAUCCAACACUUAUUCCCAGCUGGCCGAGGGCUUUUCAGAGCUCUGAUGCACUGAUGCCCUCUAACGAGGGAGUGAGUUUCGACGUCGAAAAGAGAAGGAGAGGUUCAGCAUUCCUGCGCGUGACGGCGCCGUGUCCAGAGAUUGGCCGUCUGCAGCUCCUCCAUUAAUUUCCCCGAAUGAUUAUCAUGCGCAGAAAGGGGCAGCGUGAUGAAUCUGGG